rnacentral:rRNA from 1 species
CACGUAGUUAGCCGGGGCUUCUUAGUCAGGUACCGUCAUUUUCUUUCCUGCUGAUAGAGCUUUACGUACCGAAAUACUUCUUCACUCACGCGGCGUCGCUGGAUCAGGGUUCCCCCCAUUGUCCAAUAUUCCCCACUGCUGCCUCCCGUAGGAGUUUGGGCCGUGUCUCAGUCCCAAUGUGGCCGUCCACCCUCUCAGGCCGGCUACUGAUCGUCGCCUUGGUGGGCCGUUACCCCGCCAACCAGCUAAUCAGACGCGGGCCCAUCCCAUACCACCGGAGUUUUUCACACACCUUCAUGCGAAGCUGUGCGCUUAUGCGGUUUUAGCACCUGUUUCCAGGUGUUAUCCCCCGGUAUGGGGCAGGUUGCCCACGCGUUACUCACCCGUCCGCCACUAACUUACACUUCCGUUAGUCAAUGCAAGCAUCUCCUGCUUCUGUGUAAGUCCGUUCGACUUGCAUGUGUUACGCACGCCGGCGGUCGUCUCUCUGCGCGAGUACUACUAACUACUCGUGAC